GAACGCACAUUGCGCCCCCUGGCAUUCCGGGGGGCAUGCCUGUCCGAGCGUCAUUUCUGCCCUCAAGCACGGCUUGUGUGUUGGGUGUGGUCCCUCCGGGGACCUGCCCGAAAGGCAGCGGCGACGUCCGUCUGGUCCUCGAGCGUAUGGGGCUUUGUCACUCGCUCGGGAAGGACCUGCGGGGGUUGGUCACCACCAUAUUUUACCACGGUUGACCUCGGAUCAGGUAGGAGUUACCCGCUGAACUUAAG
rnacentral:misc_RNA from 1 species